UCUCAGUUCGGAUUGGAGUCUGCAACCCGACUCCAUGAAGCUGGAUUCGCUAGUAAUCGCGCAUCAGCCACGGCGCGGUGAAUACGUUCCCGGGCCUUGUACACACCGCCCGUCAAGCCAUGGAAGCCGGGAGUGCCUGAAGUGCGUGAGCGCAAGCAGCGCCCUAAGGUAAAACCGGUGACUGGGGCUAAGUCGUAACAAGGUAGC
rnacentral:rRNA from 1 species